ACGCAUGACUACGACGUCAAGAUGCGAAACGUCGUCAAGUUUCUGGAAGCCGGCGACAAGGUGAAGGUCACGCUGCGGUUCCGCGGCCGCGAGAUGGCGCACCAGAACCUGGGCCGCGAGCUGCUGGAACGGGUGGCCGACGACACCAAGGAAAUCGGCAAGGUCGAGAACUUCCCCAAGAUGGAAGGCCGGCAGAUGGUCAUGAUGAUCGGCCCGACCAAGUGACCGGCUCACGCCGAACCUGAGCCAACGCGGGCGGCCCCGGGGCCGCCCAAUUCGUGACCAAGACCCGCCGGGGACCCUCGAUGCUCA
rnacentral:misc_RNA from 1 species